UACGUAGGUGGCAAGCGUUGUCCGGAAUUAUUGGGCGUAAAGCGCGCGCAGGCGGUCCUUUAAGUCUGAUGUGAAAGCCCACGGCUCAACCGUGGAGGGUCAUUGGAAACUGGGGGACUUGAGUGCAGGAGAGAAGAGUGGAAUUCCACGUGUAGCGGUGAAAUGCGUAGAUAUCAAGAGGAACACCUGAGGUGAAGACGGGUUGCUGGGCUGACACUGACGCUGAGGCGCGAAAGCCAGGGGAGCAAACGGG
rnacentral:rRNA from 1 species